GGGUUGCGGUUUAAGUUCUUAUA
rnacentral:siRNA from 1 species